rnacentral:rRNA from 1 species
GCCAGACUCCUACGGGAGGCAGCAGUGGGGAAUAUUGGGCAAUGGGCGAAAGCCUGACCCAGCAACGCCGCGUGAAGGAAGAAGGCUUUCGGGUUGUAAACUUCUUUUGACAGGGAAGAGCAGAAGACGGUACCUGAGGAAUAAGCCACGGCUAACUACGUGCCAGCAGCCGCGGUAAUACGUAGGUGGCAAGCGUUAUCCGGAUUUACUGGGUGUAAAGGGCGUGUAGGCGGGACUGCAAGUCAGAUGUGAAAACCACGGGCUCAACCUGUGGCCUGCAUUUGAAACUGUAGUUCUUGAGUACUGGAGAGGCAGACGGAAUUCCUAGUGUAGCGGUGAAAUGCGUAGAUAUUAGGAGGAACACCAGUGGCGAAGGCGGUCUGCUGGACUGCGACUGACGUUGAGGCCCGAAAGCGUGGGGAGCAAACAGGAUUAGAUACCCUUGUACA